CGCAUCUGUGCAUGCAGCAUAUCAAUAAGCGGAGGAAAAGAAACUAACAAGGAUUCCCCUAGUAACGGCGAGUGAAGCGGGAAGAGCUCAAAUUUGAAAUCUUAAAGGGUUUCCCUUUAUGAAUUGUAGUUUAAAGAAGUGUUUUCUGUUGAGGUUUUGGUAAAAGUUCUUUGGAAUAGGACAUCAUAGAGGGUGAGAAUCCCGUAUUUGACCUUUACUUUCAACUUUGUGAUACACUUUCAAAGAGUCGGAUUGUUUGGGAAUGCAGUCCAAAAUGGGUGGUAAAUUUCAUCUAAAGCUAAAUAUUGGCGAGAGACCGAUAGCGAACAAGUACCGUGAGGGAAAGAUGAAAAGAACUUUGAAAAGAGAGUUAAACAGUACGUGAAAUUGUCAAAAGGGAAGCGUUUGACACCAGUGCUGUUUUUCUGAAAAUCAAUUAAAGAACUGUUUAUGCUAAGUUGUUUAGACUUUAUCAGCUAACUGUUUAGUUUUGAGCUUUUCUUUAAUGCACUUUUCAGUUAACAAGUCAACAUCAAUUUCUUUUGCUGUAAAAAAGCUUGAGGAAGGUGGCUUGAGAUUCGUCUUAAGUGUUUAUAGCCUCUUGCCUAUGCAGUCGGAGAGAUUGAGGUCUGCAGCGUAGAUCCUUCGGGGCUAAAUGCAUUUGUGCUAAGUUAUAGCAUUUUAUAGACAACUUGUUGACUAUGAUUUGUCUUGUAGCUUACUCGCUUAUGUUAUUUUACCUACGCUUAGGAUGUUGACUGAUAUGUAGUCGUA
rnacentral:rRNA from 1 species